rnacentral:rRNA from 1 species
AUGACGUACAGCUACAACAAGGUGGAGCAGGCCAUGGAGCUUCUCUGGAGGACCAAGCCCUCCAGGAUCUCCAGCAACCUUGCCGCCAUGUCUCUGAUUAGCUACCCAAGGAAACGUGCCCAUGGUGACACGGCGAUCCUCUCCCAAGAUCUCCAACUCCGAUUCCGAGUCGUACCAGAAUGGAUCAUCAAGGGACAAUCCUCUGAGCGCUUCUUUGAGCUGCAGAUAUUCUCGAUUGGCCCGCUCGUCAGCUACGUGCCCCGCCAGCAGCAAGAGAGAUGGCAAGAUCAAGAUGGCGUGGAGCAGCGGCAGGAACUAGUGAACGUGUCGGCCGUUCUCACGGAGUCCGGCGGGGUCUUUGGAUGGUGCCCGGUGAUGUCGCUGGAGGGCGUGUACAACCCGGAGGACGGGCGGAUGCACCUGCCCCUCGGCCAAGGUUUACAUGUCCACUUCAACCGGACCGAGCUUCCGGCGCUGCAAUCCUUUUACCCCGGGACGAGGUUUGACGGAUUCGUGGGGCAGAACAUGGAGGGGAUCGUCUGCCUCGCCAUGUUGUUGGCCACCAUCGUCGCCGCAUUCAGCCAGCUGCGCUACAUGGAUUCCCACCCGGACGUUGUGCCGUACAUCUCCCUCGCCAUGCUCGGCGCCCAGGCGCUCUGCUACGGCGCGGUGCUGGUCACGGACGCCAGGAUCCUACCCGCGUGGCCGAGGAUGUACGACGGCGAAGGCAACUACUCCGUGAAAGCCCUGCCCUCGCGGCGCUCCUCCUCACGCUGCGCCUGGCACGCAAGGUGCGGCGGUCGAGGGUCCGCGCUCGGGCGCGGGCGCCGCUUGAGCCGGGACGCGUCCCGAGCGACAUGGCCGGGCUGCACCUUGGCGGCCUCCUGUUCGUCCUCGCCAUGCACGGGCUGCUGGCCACCGCCGCAUGUGGUGUACACCCUACAAGCACAGGGCCAGGGGGAAUCCUAUAGCCGGCCCUCGUAUAAUAUGGCCGCCAUGGUGGAGCGGUGCAUCGGCCUGGUAAGGGAAUGGUUCCUGCUGCCGCAGGUCAUGGGCAACGCCGUGUGGCGCGUCAACUGCCGGCCUCUGAGGAAGAGCUACUACGCCGGAAUCACGGGCAUGUCGCUGCUGCCACACGCUCUAUGGGUUCCUCCGCCCGCCUCCCGCGGUUGGCAUGUACCCUGCCCCUAA